CCUACGGGAGGCAGCAGUGGGGAAUUUUCCGCAAUGGGCGAAAGCCUGACGGAGCAAUACCGCGUGAGGGAGGAAGGCUCUUGGGUCGUAAACCUCUUUUCUCAGGGAGCCGGUACCUGAGGAAUAAGCAUCGGCUAACUCCGUGCCAGCAGCCGCGGUAAUACGGAGGAUGCAAGCGUUAUCCGGAAUGAUUGGGCGUAAAGCGUCCGCAGGUGGCGAUGUAAGUCUGCUGUUAAAGAGUCUAGCUCAACUAGAUAAGAGCAGUGGAAACUACAUAGCUAGAGUACGUUCGGGGCAGAGGGAAUUCCUGGUGUAGCGGUGAAAUGCGUAGAGAUCAGGAAGAACACCAGUGGCGAAGGCGCUCUGCUAGGCCGUACUGACACUGAGGGACGAAAGCUAGGGGAGCGAAUGGGAUUAGAUACCCUUGUAGUC
rnacentral:rRNA from 1 species